UACGGGGGGGCAAGCGUUGUUCGGAAUUACUGGGCGUAAAGGGCUCGUAGGUGGCCAACUAAGUCAGACGUGAAAUCCCUCGGCUUAACCGGGGAACUGCGUCUGAUACUGGAUGGCUAGAGUUUGGGAGAGGGAUGCGGAAUUCCAGGUGUAGCGGUGAAAUGCGUAGAUAUCUGGAGGAACACCGGUGGCGAAGGCGGCAUCCUGGACCAACACUGACGCUGAGGAGCGAAAGCCAGGGGA
rnacentral:rRNA from 1 species